UAAGGAAUAUUGGACAAUGGUCGCAAGACUGAUCCAGCCAUGCCGCGUGCAGGAAGACGGCCCUAUGGGUUGUAAACUGCUUUUGUACCAGAGAAAACCUAUCUACGUGUAGAUAGCUGAUAGUAUGGUAAGAAUAAGCAUCGGCUAACUUCGUGCCAGCAGCCGCGGUAAGACGAAGGAUGCAAGCGUUAUCCGGAUUCAUUGGGUUUAAAGGGUGCGUAGGCGGGCUUGUAAGUCAGUGGUGAAAUCUCUCAGCUUAACUGAGAUGCUGCCAUUGAUACUGCAGGCCUAGAGUAGAGAAGACGUUGGCGGAAUAUGACAUGGAGUGGUGAAAUACUUAGAUAUGUCAUAGAACACCGAUUGCGAAGGCAGCUAACGAAACUAUAACUGACGCUGAGGCACGAAAG
rnacentral:rRNA from 1 species